CACCUCAACAGCUAGCCCAGCCCUCCAAAAACAACAAACCCCCAUCAAUAACCCCUCAAACCAAACUUAACACUAACUAAAACAUUCUCCCGCCCUAGUAUAGGAGACAGAAAAGGACACACGGCGCCAUAGAGAAAGUACCGCAAGGGAAAGCUGAAAGAGAAGUGAAACAACCCAGUUAAGAAUAAAAAAGCAGAGAUUUAUACUCGUACCUUUUGCAUCAUGACUUAGCCAGGAGCCUUCAAGCAAAGAGCACUUUAGUUUGAACCCCCGAAACUAAGCGAGCUACUCCAAGACAGCCUAUUACAGGGCACACCCGUCUCUGUGGCAAAAGAGUGGGAAGAGCUUUGAGUAGAGGUGACAAGCCUACCGAGCUUAGUUAUAGCUGGUUGCCUAAAAAAUGAAUAGAAGUUCAGCCUUUUAAUUUUUUACUUUAAAAAUGGAACUUCCCCUACCAAAUACAAAAGAAAUUAAAAGAGUUAGUCAAGAGGGGGACAGCCCUCUUGAAAAAAGACACAACUUUAGCAAGCAGGCAAAAGAACAAAAGAACAAAGGCACGAUAUUCCAGUGGGCCUAAAAGCAGCCACCCCUGUAGAAAGCGUUAAAGCUCAGAUAUUAGCCCGCCCUAAUCCCGACAACAACAUCUUAUGCCCCUUAACAUACUAGGCCUUUCCAUGCGAACAUGGAAGAGAUCAUGCUAAUAUGAGUAAUAAGAGGGCCAAGCCCCUCUCCAGGCACCCGUGUAAAUCAGAACGAACCCCCACUGAAUAUUAACGUCCCCAAAUAAAGAGGGAAUUGAAACAUCCCCCAUAAAACCAGAAAAAACUUCAGUUUCUAAACGUUAACCCCACACAGGCAUGCCCAAGGAAAGACCAAAAGAAAAAGAAGGAACUCGGCAAACACUGGCCUCGCCUGUUUACCAAAAACAUCGCCUCCUGCACCACAUAUAUAGGAGGUCCCGCCUGCCCUGUGACAAAAAGUUUAACGGCCGCGGUAUUUUGACCGUGCGAAAGUAGCGUAAUCACUUGUCUUUUAAAUGAAGACCUGUAUGAAUGGCAUGACGAGGGCUAAACUGUCUCCUUUUUCCAGUCAAUGAAAUUGAUCUGCCCGUGCAGAAGCGGGCAUAACCCCAUAAGACGAGAAGACCCUAUGGAGCUUUAGACACUAAGACAGCCCACGUUAAGCCCCCCUCACUUAAGAGUAUAAACUAAAUGGUCCCUGUCCUUUUGUCUUUGGUUGGGGCGACCGCGGGAAAACACCAAACCCCCACGUGGAACGAAACCUUCUUUCCUAAAGCCAGAGCCACAGCUCUAACAUACAAAACUUUUGACCACCAAGAUCCGGCACUGCCGAUCAACGGACCGAGUUACCCUAGGGAUAACAGCGCAAUCCCCUUUUAGAGCCCAUAUCGACAAGGGGGUUUACGACCUCGAUGUUGGAUCAGGACAUCCUAAUGGUGCAGCCGCUAUUAAGGGUUC
rnacentral:rRNA from 1 species